rnacentral:rRNA from 1 species
UACGAAGGGUGCAAGCGUUAGUCGGAAUUACUGGGCGUAAAGGGCGCGUAGGCGGUUGCCUAAGUCGGACGUGAAAUCCCCAAGCUUAACUUGGGAACUGCAUCUGAUACUGGGUGACUUGAGUUCGGGAGAGGAAUGUGGAAUUCCAGGUGUAGCGGUGAAAUGCGUAGAGAUCGGGAGGAACAUCCGUGGCGAAGGCGGCCAUCUGGAUCAACACUGACGCUGAGGCACGAAAGCGUGGGGAGCAAACAGG